UAGAGUAGGCAUCUUGCGCUAAGUGCCCCGGGACGGGAUGUUGCCCGCGGACGAAAAGCAUACGCUUGUGAUGAGGUGCCGCAUCCGCUA
rnacentral:ncRNA from 1 species